rnacentral:rRNA from 1 species
GACGUAGGGCGCGAGCGUUGUCCGGAUUUAUUGGGCGUAAAGAGCUCGUAGGCGGCUUGUUGCGUCGACUGUGAAAACCCGCGGCUUAACUGCGGGCUUGCAGUUGAUACGGGCAGGCUAGAGUUCGGUAGGGGAGACUGGAAUUCCUGGUGUAGCGGUGAAAUGCGCAGAUAUCAGGAGGAACACCGGUGGCGAAGGCGGGUCUCUGGGCCGAUACUGACGCUGAGGAGCGAAAGCGUGGGGAGCGAACAAG